GAUGAACGCUGGCGGCGUGCUUAACACAUGCAAGUCGAGCGGUAAGGCCCCUUCGGGGGUAUACGAGCGGCGAACGGGUGAGUAACACGUGAGCAAUCUGCCCUUCACACGGGGAUAACUCCGGGAAACCGAAGCUAAUACCCGAUACGACCACUGGCCGCAUGGCCUGGUGGUGGAAAGUUCCGGCGGUGAAGGAUGAGCUCGCGGCCUAUCAGCUUGUUGGUGGGGUAGUGGCCUACCAAGGCAACGACGGGUAGCCGGCCUGAGAGGGUGACCGGCCACACUGGGACUGAGACACGGCCCAGACUCCUACGGGAGGCAGCAGUGGGGAAUAUUGGACAAUGGGGGAAACCCUGACUCAGCAACGCCGCGUGAAGGACGAAGGCCUUCGGGUUGUAAACUUCUUUGAUCAGGGACGAAACAAAUGACGGUACCUGAAGAACAAGCCACGGCUAACUACGUGCCAGCAGCCGCGGUAACAC
rnacentral:rRNA from 1 species